AUCCUACUCCCUCCGUUCGGAAUUACUUGUCAUAAGAAUGGAUGUAUCUACAACUAAAAUACAUCUAGAUACAUUCAUUUUUUUGACGAGUAAUUCCGAAUGGAGGGAGUAUGUC
rfam:Triticum aestivum genome assembly, contig: Triticum_aestivum_CS42_TGACv1_scaffold_500687_6BL